rnacentral:lncRNA from 1 species
CCCGGCUCGAUAGGUCGGUCGUUGUUGCUGCCGGCAUCUCGGGAGGAGCGUUCGAUUCUUCCUCACGGAACGCGCCCGAAGCAGCUGCAUGAACGGCUUCCAGGCGCCCCUCAGCCCACCGGGAGCCUCCCAGACCCGCUCCGGUGCUGAGCCCGCCCUGAGGAGCGAGCAGUGCUGGGCCCGGUGUGAUUUGUGCUCUCCGUGGCUCAGAGGAACGUGCAGGAUCGCUGCUGGCAAAGUUUAGGGAAGUACUGCUGUGACUAUUUGUUGUGAAAAGCAUGGGGCCUUGAAUAUGACUACCUCCUUCCUUUACAUUGUAUCCAUUUGAAGAGGAAAGAAACAACGGUAUGAAUAGAACAAUGGAGAACAAAACCACACAAGUAUUCGUGUGUGUGAGAGAGAAAGACAGAGGGACCACACAGGUAAAGAAAGAGAUUGACAAGGAACAAGAGCAGCAAGGUGUGGAUUUGAGUGCCACAGAAGGAGAUGAGGUGUAUGAAGGACAAAGAAUAUCUUCGAAGUGAAAAAUAUCAUUCAGGAAUACUUAUGUGAGGGAAGAAACACCAGCAGUGAGGGGGUAGAGC